UAAGGACAUCAGAUCAGAAGACAGAAGUGAGUCCUAUGAGGGCAAAAUGCAGAAUUAUCAAGGACACUCGAAAGAAUUUAUAUUUCUGAAGUACUUUGGGUCAAAUAUACAGGCAAGUGAUGAAGCUGCUGAUUGCUGGCAGAGCACAGAUGAACCCUUCCCAACCUGCCAGAGCAGCUCAUGUUAUGAUGAUGACUUUGAAUCAUUGAAUUUGCUGUCUUUUAUACUUUUAAACAUAUUUUGGAAACUCUAUA